GCAACAGCUCAAAUUUGAAAUCUGGCCCCCUUCGGGGCCCGAGUUGUAAUUUGUAGAGGGUGCUUUGGCGUUGGCUGUGGUCUAAGUUCCUUGGAACAGGACGUCACAGAGGGUGAGAAUCCCGUACGUGGCCGCCAGCCUCCGCCGUGUAAAGCCCCUUCGACGAGUCGAGUUGUUUGGGAAUGCAGCUCUAAAUGGGAGGUAAAUUUCUUCUAAAGCUAAAUAUUGGCCAGAGACCGAUAGCGCACAAGUAGAGUGAUCGAAAGAUGAAAAGCACUUUGGAAAGAGAGUCAAAAAGCACGUGAAAUUGUUGAAAGGGAAGCGCUUGCAGCCAGACUUGCCCGCAGUUGCUCACCCGGGCCCUCGCCCGGGGCACUCUUCUGCGGGCAGGCCAGCAUCAGUCCGGGCGGUCGGACAAAAGCCUGCUAAAUGUACCUCCCCUCGGGGAGGACUUAUAGGGCAGGUGGCAUGCGACCAGCCCGGACUGAGGUCCGCGCUUCGGCUAGGAUGCUGGCGUAAUGGCUGUAAGCGGCCCGUCUUGAAACACGGACCAAGGAGUCUAACAUCUAUGCGAGUGUUUGGGUGUCAAGCCCGAGCGCGUAAUGAAAGUGAACGGAGGUGGGAACCCCUCGGGGCGCACCAUCGACCGAUCCUGAUGUCUUCGGAUGGAUUUGAGUAGGAGCAUAGCUGUUGGGACCCGAAAGAUGGUGAACUAUGCCUGAAUAGGGUGAAGCCAGAGGAAACUCUGGUGGAGGCUCGCAGCGGUUAAAACGUGCAGAUCGAUCGUCAAAUU
rnacentral:rRNA from 1 species